rnacentral:rRNA from 1 species
UACAGGGGGGGCAAGCGUUGUUCGGAAUUACUGGGCGUAAAGGGCUCGUAGGCGGCUAACUAAGUCACACGUGAAAUCCCCAGGCUUAACCUGGGAACUGCGUGUGAUACUGGAUGGCUUGAAUCCGGGAGAGGGAUGCGGAAUUCCAGGUGUAGCGGUGAAAUGCGUAGAUAUCUGGAGGAACACCGGUGGCGAAGGCGGCAUCCUGGACCGGUAUUGACGCUGAUGAGCGAAAGCCAGGGGAGCAAACGGG